rnacentral:rRNA from 1 species
UACGUAGGUGGCAAGCGUUGUCCGGAUUUACUGGGCGUAAAGAGCGCGCAGGCGGUCGUGCAAGUCGCGUGUGAAAGCCCCCGGCUCAACUGGGGAGGGUCACGCGAUACUGCUCGACUUGAAGGCAGGAGAGGGAAGUGGAAUUCCUGGUGUAGCGGUGAAAUGCGCAGAUAUCAGGAGGAACACCAAUUGCGAAGGCAGCUCGCUGGGACGUUACUGACGCUGAGACGCGAAAGCGUGGGGAGCAAACAGG